UACCUGGACACGGGGUGCCCCGCGCGUGGGCUGAGAUCACACCCGUCGAACCUGAACCAGUUAGGACUGGCGGAGGGAUGUCGUAUGUCGUUGCC
rnacentral:ncRNA from 2 species